CAUUCGUCUGCUGUUCUUUACACAGAAAAGAUGGACAUAGAAGAGAUUCCAAAGAAAACUCUCUUUCUCCUUUCAUUUCCACUCAGGAAUCUUCCUAAUUUCAUCACAACAGUCUUUGGGACUCUAAUAUAGAAGACACAUUUUGUUGAUUCAUUUAUUAGUGUCUUUGCUUCACUGAGAUACAGUACUUAAUAGAGAUACUGAUAUUUUUAAGGACUGAUUCAUAAAAGUAGUUUUCAUUCAUAUUGAGUUUGUGCCUGUCAUUUUUAGACCACUAGAUGAAGAGAUUACAGACUCAGUAAUUAAGCCAGAAAAUAUAAAUUCAGGUCAACAAAGGCCUAACUUCCCUGUGUGAGGCAUGUGAUGAGCCUGUGAAUAAUCCUGACAUGUUGUUAUUCUGCCUUGAGGUGCCACUAUAGUGCUAGUGGAAGUGAGGACAGCAACUUCAUCUUCAGUAGCAGAAAGGAAAACAGCAAUUUGGAUUGUGUGAGCCAUUUCCCUCUUUAUUUAUAGAAUUAUUCUGUAAAAGACAUCAAAAUGUUGCUCGUUCGCUGUUAUGAUUAUGUUCUCAGAGGAAUUAGGAAUGAAUGAUAUAGCAUGUAAAUUAUGGAUAAUGAAGUACAUAUGCGUAGACACUAUUUGAAGUGCCCAAGGUUAAUUUCUAUGCAAAAUAAUGUUACAUUUACUUGAAAAUUGAUUGGCUAAAUGCAAAUUAAUGAAGAAAACCCCUUUAAUUAUGACAUAUUUAUAAAUUAAUCAAUGUACUCAUUCAAAGAAUACUAGAUACCCUAUCUGAAAUAUCCUCAAGAUACAUGUGAGCAAUGAGAGUAUCAUUGAAAUGUAAAGCAAAUUAUUUACACUAAUCAUAUGAACCAUCUUGUUUUGUAGUUACCCAGAUGUUUGGAAUGAAAAAAGAUAAAUCAAAAAAUCAACGAAAGAGGAAAGAUCUUAUGACUGACGCAAGGGAUUGGAUUCAGAAAAUCGGAUUUCAGUUUCUGAUUCUGUCACAAGCUUCCUGUGUGACCUUAGGCUAACAGAGAUUUUUAAAAUCAAAGUAAUAGUCCUCUGUUUUUAUGGAGGUUUUUAUGGAUGUCCACCCA
rnacentral:lncRNA from 1 species